rnacentral:sRNA from 1 species
CAUUGCACACACAAAGUUGCAGCAAACCCCUUGCGAAUUGUAGCAUUGUCUCGGUCGGUUCCCCUCUUCCUUUCCUUUCCUUCGGUUUGGUUUGGUUUUGGGGCCAAGCCCAAGUUCCCGCCCCCGGGCCGGACCCGGGAGGGGCCCGCUCCUCCCGCGUUCCGGUUUUGGCUGGGUUCUGGGGACUUGGUGAUGGCGCAAUGCAUCAACACUUUCCAUAUGACUGAGUAUAAGAAACCGGGGCUCAUGCGGCCCUUCCUUCGGGAUGGUGCGCGCGUGUGGAGUUGUGUGAUAAAACAAAACAACUCUCAGCAACGGAUAUCUUGGCUCCUGCAACGAUGAAGAACGCAGCGAAAUGCGAUACGUAGUGUGAAUUGCAGAAUUCCGCGAAUCAUCGAGUCUUUGAACGCAAGUUGCGCCCGAGGCUUGCCCUCUGGCAUUUCUGCUAGAGCGUCACCGCGACACCCACCGACCACUCCUUGUUGAGUUGGGGGGUCGAGUGAAACUGGCCGUCCCGGCGGAUGGGGGCUCUGGGUCAAGCCCGCCUCCAAUGGCCGGGUCGGCUGAAAUGGAGGGAAUUUGGCCGCCGUGGUGACACAGCCGGCGAUCGGGUGAUCCAAGUCCUCUUGGAACUCAAUGUGCGUCGGCCCGUGUCCCCCAGUUGGUACCGAGGAUUCCAAAGCAGGUCUCGAGAAGUCGAAGUCGAAGGGGAAAACCGUCACGCAUCAGA